GUUUACAGUCACACACUCACAGUUCAUCUAUGUGUUAGAUGCUUCGAUUGAUGUACUCGAUGAAUAUUGUUGCAUCUGAUGGUCUCUGAGACGCUUCCUGUUAAAGAUUGUAACAACUCCAAGAACUGCUGACGAUGGUUUGCAACGCUACAAAGAGCUGAUUAGUCUUCUCAGCGCCAACAGCUUUUUUAAUAUCAGACAGUAGAGUAGCACUGAAAUGACCACCUUUGCCUGGCUGAUUUGGCUUCUGAUCCUUCAUACUUGCAUCCCCUGGGAAAAAUAAAACAACAACAACAUAAAUGAAAUAAAAUACACAUUGUGGCCUAAUUUUUGGAGACACCCAACCCCUAAACAUUAACUCCUGAACAAGCCAGCCCACACUCUGGCACUCUCCACUUUUCCUUUUGAAUAGAACAUGUCUGCAGUAUUUCAAUACAUAUCACAAUUUCAAUA